CAGACCCUGGCACUGAGACGCUGCUGCUGGGCCGGGUGCUGAGCACAGGGCUGGGCACACAGAGAUGCUUUUGUUCUUGCUGAGCUCCCACUGAGCCAAAGCCUGGCCUGCCCCUCCUCUGGCCACGCUGGAGAGGGGCUGGGGCUGCGGGGGAGCUUGGGAGGGGACACAGCCAGGACAGGUGACCCCCACUGACCCUGGGGAUACCCCAGACCAUAGGGCAUCAUGCUCAGGGUAUAAAGUGGGGGGAACAAGGAGGAAGGGGGGACAUUUGGAGUGAUGGCUUUUCUCUUCCUAGGUAACACUUAGGCUGGAGGGGGCCCUGUUUCACCAGUGGGCAGGGUCAGCACCAAAGACAGACACCAACUGAAGGAAUUGUGUCAUUUAUAUCAUGCACAGCUGCAAAGAAUUACAAAAGGAUAAGCUCAGCAAAGCACAUCAUCAUUAGCAAAGCAUUACAAAAGAAGUUCAGCAAUGCAUCCAGUCAUUGCUACCAGAGAUUGCCUGGAGUGAUUAAGGAAAGAUCCAUCACCAGUUAGCCUCAGGCUUUACCAUCAUCCACAGCCACACAUCAGCUGGGGGAAGCCAAGGACUGGAGAGCCACUCCCAGACACUGGGAAUUCCUGCAGGUGCCUCCACCUCUGCAAGCAAUGAGGCUCCAAGCCCAAAGCUGUGAGAGGACCCAGCUUUUACACUGUUAAACAAACAAGCUGGCAUCACUGCCACUGCGAGAACAUCUGCUUUCAUUCUCCUGACUGCUUUCUCCCAAAGCCUGGCCAGGGCUGAAGGAGGAACCAAGGGAGUUGACUUUCAUCCUUCACCCCCAAACAAGGCCAGGUGGGGCCUUGUCUGUUUCUAAAUACAGAAAGAUAAAUCCAUGUUUUAUCAAGGAACACAUACAUUGAUCAUGUUGUUAAUCAUGCUUCGUUAGUGAGUGGAUACAAAUACAACAUUUGCUUGGGAGGUUCAUCUAGAGGUGAGCUUUGCCUCAGGGCCUGUUCAGGCCUUGAUCACAACCUGUUCAGGCCUUGGUACUUUGAUCGGUCCUGAGACCUACAAUCAACUACAACCUUUGUAAUAAUUCUUUCAGUAACACAGCUUAGAUUUAGGUAUUAGGCAUAAAGGCAUCUCCUCUUGUUCUACAAUUAAGUGCAGUUUAAGUUCAUUACUCAGAGCUAUUCACGUUCCUUUUAAAACAUGCCUAAAUAGUUUCUAUUCUCUGUUAUUUAUCAAAUGCCUCUCUUUUCUUGAGACUGUCUCUUUUAAGAAAGGUCCCAAUACUCCACUUCCCAGCACAAAGUGUCACAGCAACUCACCAAGUGCACACACUGCAAUGAUGACAGGCACUGCCACGAAUGCAUUUCACAGCAGCCUCUAAUUUGGCAGCCACGAAGCCAAUCCCACCAAGAAGAAUUUUCUUCUUUCUGCCACUCUUCUACUGCUCUUUCUGUCAAGGUGAUUCCUGACUGUUGGCCUUCAAACCCAUCACUGCUAGCAGUGCAACAUCCCCGUCCCCUGAUAGCCCAGGUUCCUCCUUGGCCAGCAAGCAGAUAAUCCAAGGCCAUGCGGUUCUCUGGAGUCCCCAUUUGUGUUUGUUGGAGCUCAUAGGAUGUGCUAUUGGACAUUUUAACAGUAUCAUUUGCUACCUCUUCUAAUAAUCCAAUGUGCUAUUGGACAUUUUAACAGUAUCAUUUACUACCUCUUCUAAUAAUCCCGUCAGCUCAUUCAUGUAAACUCCAUGGGACGGGGCAGCGCACAUGGGGCACAGGGUGAACCAGAAUCUUUUACUUUCUGAAACCCAAGGCACUCUUUGGGUGGAAAAUGUUCUCUGGGCCCUAACUCUUCAGUGUGGUCGUUGCUGAAGGACCCUAAAUGGGGGCCCUGCAGCUGGGAGUGGUGAGACACUGACACUGACCAGCUGCAGCACCCCAAGUUCUAUUGACAUUGGGAGUGAUGGUAAAGCACAGGAAUCUUCUGACACUGUAGCCUCUAUAACUGUAACAGGGUUUGGUUUCUCCUGACGGGAAAUCUGAGUGAAUCCUGUCACACGGAUCAUUGUAUUCCCGUGUCCCACAGCACAGGUUUCUGUAACUGUCCCUUCAUUGACUCCGUUACGAGGCAGAGCCCAUUGACAGAGUUCUGGCCACCCCACAGGGUGGGCCCUCCAAGGGAACCCCAUUCCUCCCAACUUCAGCUGAGAACAUACCCAGCAAUUAGUGACACUGAGUGCUUUGGCUACCUUGGUCUUUAAAUUUCCAAAACAUUUUGAUGACUGAUCUCUUGGUGAAACUCUGGAAGUGUUUUGGCAAACGUCAGUAGUACUUUAGUGACACCGUUCUUCAUUCUUUUUGCUCAAUCUCAUUCAAGUUAGGAACAAUAAUUCUGUUGUCCACGGAGCUGGCACCUUUUUAAUUACAGUAUAAUGCUCCAAGGUCCUUUAGUGUUCAGCUUUAUCAUGUUGUCUGUGGGUAACAAGGCUUGGUGGGGCCCUUUCCCCUUUGGCUGGAAGAGGGCCAGGACCUCUAUUUAAAGAAAAAAAAAGGAAAAGAAAAAAAAAA
ensembl:lncRNA